rnacentral:rRNA from 1 species
ACGAACGCUGGCGGCGUGCUUAACACAUGCAAGUCGAGCGGAAAGGCCCUGCUUUUGUGGGGUGCUCGAGUGGCGAACGGGUGAGUAACACGUGAGUAACCUGCCCUUGACUUUGGGAUAACUUCAGGAAACUGGGGCUAAUACCGGAUAGGAGCUCCUGCUGCAUGGUGGGGGUUGGAAAGUUUCGGCGGUUGGGGAUGGACUCGCGGCUUAUCAGCUUGUUGGUGGGGUACUGGCUUACCAAGGCUUUGACGGGUAGCCGGCCUGAGAGGGUGACCGGCCACAUUGGGACUGAGAUACGGCCCAGACUCCUACGGGAGGCAGCAGUGGGGAAUAUUGCACAAUGGGCGGAAGCCUGAUGCAGCAACGCCGCGUGCGGGAUGACGGCCUUCGGGUUGUAAACCGCUUUCGCCUGUGACGAAGCGUGAGUGACGGUAAUGGGUAAAGAAGCACCGGCUAACUACGUG